rnacentral:misc_RNA from 1 species
GAGGAACGCAGGGAUACAUCCUAUAGGGAAGUUUCCGGGGACCAGCAGUGUCUUUGCACCGAGCUCAAUUAAAACAUUGAUGGCAGAACGUAUAUUUUUUAUGAUGGAAGGGACAUAGGUUCGUAUUUCAUCUAGGGUUCUUUUUUGGUAAAAUGAAUGGUAUAAAUCGUUUCCUCCGAUCUCUCCCAUCAAGAACAACGAAUUACUCAUGAUGUCGUCGCAGUCUCGUUUGGAGGAGCAAAGCGCUGGCAACAUCUUCUUGAACCAUUUCAUC